UACGUAGGGUGCAAGCGUUGUUCGGAAUUACUGGGCGUAAAGGGCUCGUAGGCGGCCAACUAAGUCGGACGUGAAAUCCCCAGGCUCAACCUGGGAACUGCGUCUGAUACUGGAUGGCUUGAAUCCGGGAGAGGGAUGCAGAAUUCCAGGUGUAGCGGUGAAAUGCGUAGAUAUCUGGAGGAAUACCGGUGGCGAAGGCGGCAUCCUGGACCGGCAUUGACGCUGAGGAGCGAAAGCCAGGGGAGCAAACGGG
rnacentral:rRNA from 1 species